rnacentral:rRNA from 1 species
UACAGAGGGGGCAAGCGUUAUUCGGAAUUAUUGGGCGUAAAGGGCGCGUAGGCGGCCUGGCAAGUGACGGGUGAAAUCCCUCGGCUUAACCGAGGAACUGCCUGUCAUACUGGCUGGGCUUGAGUCCGGGAGAGGUGAGUGGAACUGCGAGUGUAGAGGUGAAAUUCGUAGAUAUUCGCAAGAACACCAGUGGCGAAGGCGGCUCACUGGCCCGGUACUGACGCUGAGGUGCGAAAGCGUGGGGAGCAAACAGG